CACGCUUCUGCAGCAGGCUGAACUGUGUCCUCGUGGUAUUUGUUUUUGUACGCGACGCUAUGGUAAACUGCGCUAUUUACGGUUGUAACGAGAGAAGUUUCCGCAAGAAAAAGAGGAAGAGAGAAGAGGAAGACGAGGAUUCACGUGAGACGUCGCUGGUAAACGAAUAUUUGCAAAAUGACGAUGACGAAAAUGUUGCAGAAGAGGAGGAGCGACGAGUGGCUCUCACGCAUCAACCGAAAAGACAUGCAAGCAAGUGCCACCCAUUACAGAAUUUGUAGCAAACACUUCAUAUCUGGUGAGCUGAUGUUUUGAUCUGGUAUGCUUCGCAUUACGUGCAAAAGUAUUCAGUCUUUACCUGAUAUGAGCGGCAGCGACAGCUAGAGUUUAGAAGAACAUAACUAGGCCAGUUUCAGGUGAACCACCACUUCUGUACGAUGUCAACAACCCGUACUGGGCACCAAGCGUCCAGCUUGGUCACAACAAGUGACUGCACUGUAAUUUAGACAGAUACAGUAGGCGCAAGAAUAGGGCAGCAUGCCAGGCAGGAGUUGCAAGGCACCUCACAGAACUCAAAAAUGUGCCUGUGGCUGACAGUGCUGGUACAUACACAGAAGCAUCAGAGUGUGGACUCAGUUGAGAUGAUGAAGACGGGCAAC